UGGCUAUUAGAAGAUUGAAUGAUAUGAAAAAUACUGAUUUUUCUUUUUGUAUUUUGUGUCUGUUAAUGAGUGACUGUCUUCAGGUAAAUGAUCUGGAGUGUGUUUGCAUAUUGAUCAGAUGCUUCAGUGCUCUGAGAGUGUUUAUAGUGCUGUGAGUUUAACACUUCAUCACUGACACACACAACAAUCUUCAUCAACAUGACCUUCAUCAUCAUCUUCAUCUGGACUCUCACAGCGUUUGCUCAAGAGUGUAGAGGACAGAUCACCGUCACUCAGAGUCCCUCAAUGACAGCAGCUCAACCAGGACAAACUCUGAACAUCAACUGUAAAACCAGCACAGAUGUGUAUUAUCAAAGUUCUUAUGGACAUUAUUUAGCCUGGUACUUACAGAAACCUGGAGAAGCUCCUAAACUCCUGAUUUAUUUAGCAAACACCCUCCAGUCAGGAACUCCAUCUAGAUUCAGUGGCAGUGGAUCUAACAGUGAUUUCACUCUGACCAUCAGUGGAGUCCAGACUGAAGAUGCUGGACAUUAUUACUGUAUGAGUUUCCACUAUCCAAACAGUCAAUAUGUGUUCACACAGUGA